CUCUUCCAAAUAGAUUGGUUCAUCAUUAGAGGCGAAGAAAGAUCCAUUUAGAGCGACGGUCGUUAACUGAGUACGCGCCGUCGGUCUGGGAUUUCGGGUCUCUAGACGUUCCCAGGUUUCCGUUGCUGAAAAAGAUUUGAGUAAUUUAAUUACUGAAGUGAAACCGCCAGACUUCAUCGGAUAAGUUGCCCUGCUUUUCGCCACCCAUUACGAGCAUGUGAGAGCGGACUCUCACCGCCGAGUGUCCGUGAAGUGGUCCUGGACCCAACGGCUUACAUUUGACCGAACUCCAUCUCAUGGUCUAGUCUCCACAAAUCCGAUCUUUCAACCAAAUCUGUCAUUCCACCAUAGACCCACAUUGCUUGAUCAAAAACCACGGCUGUGUGACUGUGUCUUCCAGGUGGAAUCACUUCAGAUGACUUAGAUGCUUUAUUGCCAUGAAUCAUUUUCCACGAAAAGAGAAUUGCCAUAGUUCUCCGAGUGAUCCUCGCAUAUCUUGAUAUCCUCCAUAAACGAGCAUACGAUCCUCAUAGACGACAGCUGUAUGACCUUUCCUGGAAAUAGGAGCACAGCUUUUGCUUGACUGCCAUUUGCUCCAAGUGUUAUUCUAAUAAAUGAAAAGGUAUGGAAACAGACGUUCAGACGGACGAAGCUUGUCGUUAAAACUGAAAGCUUUUGAUGGUGGCUACCUUCGCCCGGAUUGAAAGCGUCGGAUCGGACGUAAUGCGCGCGCAUCAGCUUUUCUUUUUCACCCCUGUGCCCCCCAUCCCCCUCCACAAAAGUCUUCACCCUCUAUCAUCCAUAUUUGGAAAACCGAAAUUUAAAUCACCCGGAGCAACGUUGGCGCAGCCAUGUGCAAAUAAUGCGCUGAUACAUAAUUACGUACACAGUGCUAACUUUGAAGCGAAACUGUUUGGUUGGAGGCAAAUCGGACGAAGGAGUAAAAAGCGAUGCCAGGUAAUAUAAAGGGCUGUUUGUUAGAAGAGAGACUUUUCAAGGUGUUGGGAUGUGACAGUCUCAAUUCUGCUGAAAUGCCGUGUCACGUAAGAACACAAAACGUAGUCUUAUGUAAAUGUAUGCGUCCCUGUAAAUUUACCGCCUUGAAUAAAUUAGCAUAUGGCGGUUGAUGUGUACGAUAGUGAGUCUAGUUGCAAUCCGCAUCGCCCAGUCAGUUACAAUGGACUAUGUAGCCCAUCAAUCAAUUUUAACGUCCUUCUAGGACAGGAAGCAAAAAUUGCUUUUCUUUUUAAACUGUUCUUUAAAUUCAGGCUUGACUUAACCCAGUCGAAAAAGUAGGAAGAUGUCCUUUUAGAGAGGACGAGGAUUCUGGUUAGAAAAUUAUUUCCUCAUGCAAUCAUAAACUGAUUUUGUUGUUUCUUAAAAUAAUUUUUUUAUUACCGUUUUAACCGUUCUUGUUUCACAUAUAGCUAUAUGGUUGUUUGGUUGGGCGCUUUUUCCUAAGUGUAAACUAAACACGCUAGAUGUCUUUAUUG